GUGAACGCUGGCGGUAGGCCUAACACAUGCAAGUCGAACGGCAGCACAGUAAGAGCUUGCUCUUACGGGUGGCGAGUGGCGGACGGGUGAGGAAUACAUCGGAAUCUACUUUUUCGUGGGGGAUAACGUAGGGAAACUUACGCUAAUACCGCAUACGACCUACGGGUGAAAGCAGGGGAUCUUCGGACCUUGCGCGAUUGAAUGAGCCGAUGUCGGAUUAGCUAGUUGGCGGGGUAAAGGCCCACCAAGGCGAUGAUCCGUAGCUGGUCUGAGAGGAUGAUCAGCCACACUGGAACUGAGACACGGUCCAGACUCCUACGGGAGGCAGCAGUGGGGAAUAUUGGACAAAGGGCGCAAGCCUGAUCCAGCCAUACCGCGUGGGUGAAGAAGGCCUUCGGGUUGUAAAGCCCUUUUGUUGGGAAAGAAAAGCAGCAGGUUAAUACCCCGCUGUUCUGACGGUACCCAAAGAAUAAGCACCGGCUAACUUCGUG
rnacentral:rRNA from 1 species